rnacentral:rRNA from 1 species
AACGAACGCUGGCGGCAGGCUUAACACAUGCCAGUCGAGCGCCCCGCCAGGGGAGCGGCAGACGGGUGAGUAACGCGUGGGAACGUACCUUUUGGUUCGGAACAACUCCGGGAAACUGGAGCUAAUACCGGAUAAGCCCUAACGGGGAAAGAUUUAUCGCCGUAAGAUCGGCCCGCGUCUGAUUAGCUAGUUGGUGAGGUAACGGCUCACCAAGGCGACGAUCAGUAGCUGGUCUGAGAGGAUGAUCAGCCACACUGGGACUGAGACACGGCCCAGACUCCUACGGGAGGCAGCAGUGGGGAAUAUUGGACAAUGGGCGCAAGCCUGAUCCAGCCAUGCCGCGUGAGUGAUGAAGGCCUUAGGGUUGUAAAGCUCUUUUGUCCGGGAAGAUAAUGACUGUACCGGAAGAAUAAGCCCCGGCUAACUUCGUG